CCAUAUUGCCCUGUCUGCAGAUCCAUCUAAGCUCAAUAUCUUUGAAUUUAUUCAUCCACUGUCUUCUUUCUCUCACCCAAUUAUAUAAACCAAACUGCAGAACCUUUGAGUAAGUACGUCCACCAUUUUCUUGUUGUCUUUUUCAAAGAUUAUUUUUGUGAAACCGUGACACCAACAAUAUUGCAGAGCCAGAGCCAUAAGC
rnacentral:lncRNA from 1 species